GACACUGACUUGGGUGCCACGUCGUGGCAGCCUGCGUCUGAGCAUGUGCCCACUGACGACACUGACUUGGGUGCCACGUCGUGGCAGCCUGCGUCUGAGCAUGUGCCCACUGACGACACUGACUUGGGUGCCACGUCGUGGCAGCCUGCGUCUGAGCAUGUGACCACGCAGCCCACUGACGACACUGACUUGGGUGCCACGUCG
rnacentral:lncRNA from 1 species